UACGUAGGUGGCAAGCGUUAUCCGGAUUUAUUGGGCGUAAAGGGAACGCAGGCGGUCUUUUAAGUCUGAUGUGAAAGCCUUCGGCUCAACCGGAGAAUUGCAUCAGAAACUGUUGAACUUGAGUGCAGAAGAGGAGAGUGGAACUCCAUGUGUAGCGGUGGAAUGCGUAGAUAUAUGGAAGAACACCAGUGGCGAAGGCGGCUCUCUGGUCUGCAACUGACGCUGAGGCUCGAAAGCAUGGGUAGCGAACAGG
rnacentral:rRNA from 1 species